UCGGGUGUGGUGUAGCGGCUAACAUGGCUGUCUUUCAAAUCAACUAUGGUUGGUCACAGCAGCUCCGGGUUCGACUCCCGGCAUCCGAA